rnacentral:rRNA from 1 species
GAUGAACGCUGGCGGCGUGCCUAAUACAUGCAAGUCGAGCGAACAGACGAGGAGCUUGCUCCUCUGACGUUAGCGGCGGACGGGUGAGUAACACGUGGAUAACCUACCUAUAAGACUGGGAUAACUUCGGGAAACCGGAGCUAAUACCGGAUAAUAUAUUGAACCGCAUGGUUCAAUAGUGAAAGACGGUUUUGCUGUCACUUAUAGAUGGAUCCGCGCCGCAUUAGCUAGUUGGUAAGGUAACGGCUUACCAAGGCAACGAUGCGUAGCCGACCUGAGAGGGUGAUCGGCCACACUGGAACUGAGACACGGUCCAGACUCCUACGGGAGGCAGCAGUAGGGAAUCGGCCGCAAUGGGCGAAAGCUUGACGGAGCAACGCCGCGUGAGUGAUGAAGGUCUUCGGAUCGUAAAACUCUGUUAUUAGGUAUGAACAAAUGUGUAAGUAACUAUGCACGUCUUGACGGUACCUAAUCAGAAAGCCACGGCUAACUACGUG